rnacentral:rRNA from 1 species
UACGAAGGGGGGCUAGCGUUGCUCGGAAUCACUGGGCGUAAAGCGCACGUAGGCGGCUUGUUAAGUCGGGGGUGAAAUCCUGGAGCUCAACUCCAGAACUGCCCUCGAUACUGAUGAGCUCGAGUCCGGGAGAGGUGAGUGGAACUGCGAGUGUAGAGGUGAAAUUCGUAGAUAUUCGCAAGAACACCAGUGGCGAAGGCGGCUCACUGGCCCGGUACUGACGCUGAGACGCGAAAGCGUGGGGAGCGAACAGG